GCUUGGUUUCAAAAUCAGCCAUGCUUGCUAACAUAAUAGGUAAAUCCACACAUCUAUAGAGGCUCAUGGGCUAUGAAGUGAUUAAGGAGUUGUUUUGCAUUAUGAUCAUUUACACCCAAGUCUGAUUUAAAAAAUCCCUUUUUUUCCCCCAGCUACUUUCCUGACUAAAAAAUAUGGAAUGUUCCAGAAUGCUCCAUAUCUUUAGAAGAUCCUUACUUUCCCUGCAAAAGAAAGUCAUAUGUUUGGGAUAACAACAUGAAAUAAUGGCUGAUUUCUAUUAAUGUGACUAUUAUUGUUUUCAAAUAUAUUCAUGGCAAGACUUGAAGAAAUGUUGGAUUCUUGUUGAGAAUCAUGUUAUUAGAAACAUUACUGUGCUGUUGGACACACAGAUCCAGGAAACUUGGCAAAUCAUUCUGGAUCUCAAGCUCUACAGGGAAUGUAGUUAAAGCCAGUUCAUGAGACCACUGUACUGCUGGGAACGUCUGAUGAGGAAGCAAUGGAUAUGCGGAGCUGGGAGUGUGGAAAUCCAUAGGCAUUUAACUUGAGACCUCAAAAGGAGCCAGCUCAGAAAUUAACAAAUGCUUAUCUCCACUCAGAGGGGUGCAGCACAGCAAGCAAGUCUGGGUGAGCUGAAUGGCCC
rnacentral:lncRNA from 12 species